rnacentral:lncRNA from 1 species
AUGACGCGGCCUUCUCGGUUGGGGUUCGGUCUGGUGGUCACCUGCACGGCCGCGGGCUCCAGAAGUCAGCUACGGUGCGGCAGGGGAUCCAGAUGGCCAUCCUCACGCACCCUGGGGCACACCGGGCAGGGCCCCCAGCCCCAGCGUGCAGGCUACACGCUGGGCGUCCAAGAGCCCAAGUGCAGGUCAGAGGUUCCCAGGCCUUCGCUGCCCUUGGUGUUGGGAGGCAACCGCUGGUCACUAAGGUCCCGAAGCGGCAGCUGGGCACCCGGGCUGGGUGUCGGCUCUGCCGGGAGCAGGGGAGACCGAAGCUUGACCCCGAGAAGGACUCGUCGGGCAGCACACGGGUCAGAGGCUGCGGGGGAACCAGACAGAACCCAGGUCUCCAGAGUCCGGGCGCACUGCGCUCGGGUCACUGCCAGGCCACGGUCCAGGCCCCCUGCACCCAGUCCGGGCCCACCCUCUGCGAUCCUCGGCACUGGCUGUCCCCCAACAGGGCCCGGCCUCCACACCCGGGUCCCCUCCUCGGGGGGCAGGGUGACUGGGGAUGCGCCCCGGGGCACGGUGCUCCCACCUCUGCUGGGCCUGGCGGGCGGUACAGGCUUGGCUGCGGCUCUGAAGAGAGCAGCAGUUUCAGGGAGCGCCCUGCCCGGGCCCCUAAUUACUGCCUGUCGCGCCCUGGGACACGGGCUGCUCUCGCUCGCAGGUCUGGGCUCCUGGGCACAGUGGGGCACGGCAGCAGCGGCCUAUUCUACCUCUGGGGGCUCCCCCGCAGCUCCCCCUGCCCAGCCUGCAGGGGCCCCGAGAAACGGGCUUCAUCUUAACUCUGAGCGGCCGGUGGGUGUGUGGGGUCAUGUGCUGACGGUUCCGAGGGCCCAUCUGGGGUCAGUGGGAGGCACACCGGGCCGGGUACUGAUGGCGCCGGUUGGGGCCGCCGCAACCACUGCCUUGGCUCUAAGAGUGGCGUCUCUCAGGGUGGAGAAGCUGGCGGGAACUGGGUGCCCCAAGGUUGUUUGUGGGGUGGGGGGUGCUUACGCCUCUUCCCCAAGGAGGGAAGGCAAGUAG